GUCAUUUUGGAAAUGUAGCUUGGCGGGCAACUUUAUGUUGACUCCUAAAGUGUUGAUACAAUUUUCAGGGUUGUGCAGAAAAAGAGGUGGCAGUACAAGAUGUGAACUGGAAUCACAAAAAGGAGCCCGGUCCUGGCUCGGAGUCUCUGUCAGGUGACCUCAACUGAGUGGUUUAAUCUCCCUGGAGACUUGGGUGCUUAAUCUUUAAUAUGAAGCAGCUAAACAAGUGCCGGCCUUGAGAUAAGGAACGUUAAAACAAUUGCAACUCAUCCAGCUCACAGACAGUAACUAACUGAGCUCCUGUUCCACUCACCAUGACUACAGCUUUAACAGCACAAGAGACUGAUUUCAGUAACUUCCUCCUGACAAGAAGACCACCAACCAUGAACUGGUUUUGGCAAUUUAUAGAGACUGGGCACUUGUGUGCCUUCACGUUCUGAAAAGACCUUUUGACAUAUAAGGCCUAAUUGUAAUAAAUGUCAAUGUUAAGUGUCCACCCCAAAAUGAACAUAGGUUGUAUGUUAUAUGCAUGUUUUCUCAAUAUGCAUGUGUCAGGACCACUGUCACGAAUAUUCACAGCUCCUACUGUAACCUGCUGAAUAUGUAUGUUUAACCUACCUGUUUAGCAUAAAGCUCCUGCUCCAAUCUCUCCUUCUUCGAAGUUCCUAUCUCUGGUCUCUGACCAAAUUCAUGCUUCCUGGCCUGCAAGACGGCAACCUUGCAGGCUGUACCCCUUUAUGAGAAAUACGGUCUCCUCUAAAUUUACAAAUGUGUGACUUUUUAAAAAUUAACAACAUGAAUGUUGAAACUUCAUCAACAAAUGAAGAGAUGUCUGCUUUGUACAUCUGCGUCUGUGAAAAAUAAAAUUUCUCAAGAUCUCA